rnacentral:rRNA from 1 species
AGAGUCUGAUCCUGGCUCAGGAUGAACGCUGGCGGCGUGCCUAACACAUGCAAGUCGAACGAGCGAUAAGAGCUGAUUCUUCGGAUGAAGCACUUAUCUGCGAGUGGCGGACGGGUGAGUAACGCGUGGGGAACCUGCCUUCUUCUGGGGGAUAGCAAUCGGAAACGAUUGAUAAUACCGCAUAAGACCACGAAGCCGCAUGGCUUUGAGGUAAAAGAUUUAUCGGAAGAAGAUGGACCCGCGUAUGAUUAGCCGGUUGGCGGGGUAACGGCCCACCAAAGCAACGAUCAUUAGCCGGCCUGAGAGGGCGGACGGCCACAUUGGGACUGAGACACGGCCCAGACUCCUACGGGAGGCAGCAGUGGGGGAUAUUGCACAAUGGAGGAAACUCUGAUGCAGCGACGCCGCGUGAGUGAAGAAGUAUUUCGGUAUGUAAAGCUCUAUCAGCAGGGAAGAAAGGCCCCCCUUGCGGGGAGAUGACGGUACCUGAGUAAGAAGCCCCGGCUAACUACGUGCCAGCAGCCGCGGUAAUACGUAGGGGGCGAGCGUUAUCCGGAUUUACUGGGUGUAAAGGGAGCGCAGACGGAAUGGCAAGUCUGAUGUGAAAGCCCGGGGCUCAUCCCCGGGACUGCAUUGGAAACUGUCAAUCUGGAGUGUCGGAAGGGCAAGCGGAAUUCCUGGUGUAGCGGUGAAAUGCGUAGAUAUCAGGAGGAACACCGGUGGCGAAGGCGGCUUGCUGGACGAUAACUGACGUUGGAGG